UCCAGAGCGCCGUCGACCCCACGCCACGCAGAGGUGAAGAUACGCAGGACGUCCUCUAAAGCAACUUCCGUGGGUGCCAGGUUAUGGGCUGGGGGCGGUGCUGACCUUGAGAGAGCGGAGGAGGCGCAGGCGCAGCACAGGUACGUGGGCGGGAGGAUCGUGGUGGCUGCGCUUGCGAGGACCCUGAGCGGGAGGGGGCCAGGGGUGGGAGUGAGGGUGCACGAUGGGAGUCGACUCCAGACCCAGGUGAUUUAGAGAGAGUAAAGACCACCUUUGGCCGUCAUUUUGUCUCAGCUUAACUGACGCCCUCUUGUUACCCUCUAGUUUUCCUGACUCGGUCCCUUAUUAGCAUAUCCUCAUUUCCACAGACCUCUCCGUCUGUUGCUUCUGUUCCCUGCCUUAGUGGGUACCGUAGCUCUACCCUCCUUCCGGGCAAUGGAAUCUCACAGUGAGAAGUUUCUUCACUAUUCACAGGUGGCAGUUGAAGCCGGAAGAACAUCUACCAAGAGCAGAGAACCCAGGAAGAAAAUUCUGCCUCUUUAAUACGUUCCAAUAUGGACGUUUUCCAUAUAGAUACCUAUCUAUAUAGAUAGAUGCUCUGGGAUCUGAUAGUCCUGGACACCUGUAUGGCUGUGUGCUGUGGUCUUUUCCUAGCCUGCGGUUCACUUUUGCUCUGGCCACCACCUCCCCUCAUUUAAACUUGAUUUUGUGAGGGGACGAACAGCGUGACAAUUAAAGAAGAUCUAGGAAUCUGAGUGUCUUUGACGAAGAUACAAAGAAAGGGGACAGUUAUGAAAGGGAAGAAAAGAUAGAUGGAGAUGAAAAGAAAUUCAGUAGUUUCAGCAAGGGAAUUAGGAGCAUAAUCUUUGAGAAAAGUCUUGGUUGCUUACCAUUCGGGCUUUGUGAUGAGUUGAAAUGUCCUGAAUGAGAACUGUUCUCAAACGCUUUCAAGACCAACAAAAAGUUACGAUACCCACACUGACCUGGAACUCUUUAAACUAUUAAGAUAUAUCACUUUUUCGCAGUUCAGUCCAUAUUUUUUGCAAAAUGUUCUGCUUAGUUUUUCUGCUAAGAAAUUACUGUUUCUGAACAAGGAUAAGUGUCGUAUGCUUUCAUUGUAGUUUUUUUUCCCCUAACAUAUACUGUUUUCCUAAUUAGACUAUAACUUCCUCCACAGCUGGGACCUUGUUUUGUUUUCUCACCUUCCCCAUAAGAAAUAUCAUUUAAGUGAAUGUUGUAAACAGUUACUUCAUUUAAAUUGACCUUAAAAUGCUUUAUGACAAAGCAUGCCCAGGAAACAUACAAGAUGAGCCUGGAAUACCUUGUGCAAGAUAGCAAGGAAGCUAUUAGAGACUACGAGGGUGUCAUAUCAAAUGGACUCAGGAGACUACUGAAAAGCAUCCUUCUGGCCAUAGGUCUGUUUUUUGCUGUGUUGGCCAGGUGAUCUUGGACUCCUGGCUUCAAGCAUUCCUCCCACCUCAGCCUCCCAAAGUUCUGGGAUUUUAGGUAUAAGCCACCAUGCCCAGCCAUGGCUCCUUUUUGUUUAACAGUCCUUCCUUUGACGGUCUCUCUUCUCACACAUUUUACUAUAAGCAACAAUAAAAAAUACACAUGAAAUAUUUAACACUUGGCCGGCAAUCUCCUUUGCUAGAUCAAUGAGUUAAUUAGGCAUUUUUUCUACUUUGUACAUAUCUGUGGAUAACAAAUUUGCUAAACUUUCUGCCAUUAUGUAACAAGGAUCUCCUUCCCUCUAGUUUCCAAGAAGAGUUUUCUAAUCUGUUAAGAUGUCACCUGCAGCCUCCUCAAAGGUUAUCUAUUAUGCUUCUAUAAAAAAUUUCUUCAAAGCUCUUCAAACUUUCAUUAACACUCUCCUCCAAGUUCUACCUUCUGUUCACUGCCAGUUUUAAAACCACACUUACAUUUUAGGUUUUUGCUAACACCCCACUUCUGAGUACCAAAAUGUAUACUGAUUUUCUAUUGCUGCAUAAUAAACUGCCCCAAAAUACAACAUGUAAAGCAAUAAAUAUUCAUUAUCUCAUGUAGUGUCUGAAGGUCAAAAAUCCGGAAGCAGCAUAGCUGAGUGGUUCUGAUUCAUUGUCUCUUGUGAAGUUAUCAGUCAAACCAUCAGCUGAGACUGUAAUCAUCUGAUGUUUUAACUAGUACUAGAGGAUACAUUUUCACAUGCUAUUGGCAGGACACUUUAGUUCUUCACUAGCUGUUUAGCAGAAUACCGCACUUCCUCACCACAUGUACCUCUUCAUAGAGCUUCCUGGCUUCCUCUAAAACAAGUAAUCCAAGAGAGAAGCAGAAGCCACCAUGGUUUUUUAUGCCGUUGUUGACCUAGCCCCCAAAGUGACAUAUUAUUACACAGAUAUGUAGCCAACCUGUGGGUCACUGAUACGGUUUGGAUGUGUGUCCCCUCCAAAUCUCAUGUUGAAAUGUGAUUCUCAAUGUUGGAAGUGGGGCUGGUGAUAGGUGUUUGGUUCAUGAGGGUAGAUCCCUUAUGAAUGGCUUGGUACUGUCUUUGUGGCAAUGAGUGAGUUCUCACUAUCUGAGUUCACACAAGAGCUGGUUGUUUAAAAGAGCCUGUCAUCUCUUUUGCUCCCUUUCUCACCAUGUGAUAUGCUGCUCCCCUUCUCUUCUGCCAUGGCGAAAAGCUUCCUGAGGCCUUCACCAGAAGCAGAUGCUGGUGCCGUGCUUCUACAGCCUGCAGAACUGUGAGCCAAAUAAAGUUCUUUCCUUUAUAAAUUGCCCAGCGUCAGGUGUUGUUUUAUAGCAAUGCAGAACAGACUAACACAGACACACACACCAACCAAGUACAGUAUGAGAAGGGAUUAUUGGGUGCCAUUUUGGAGGUUGUCUACCACAGGAUUUUAUCUGUAUCAUUAUUCAAAUUUCAUUUUUGAAAAAUUUUGUAAGGGCACAUUUAUAGAAAUAUGAAUGCUUAAUAUUUGAUGAUAUUAGGGAAUUAAACCAUUUUUGUGUAAUAGUAAAUUUUAAAGAUUCCUUUUAGAAAUACAUAUUGAAAUAUUUAGAGAUGUAGUGAUAUAAUGUCUGGGGUAUGCUUCAAGAUAAGAGUUGCAGAAAGUGGGUGGUAGUAUAAAUCAAGAUUGGUUAUGAGUUGAGAAUUUUUGAGUAAUAGGUAUAUGGGGACUAAGUAUUCUGUUCUGCAUACUUUUACAUGCAGUAAAUCCCCACUUAUCUGCAGGGAAUGUGUUCCAAGACCCCCAGUGGAUGCCUGAAACUGAGAAUAGUACUGGACCCUGUAUAUACUGUGUUUUUUCUUUCCUUAUUGAGAACUUUUAUGUUUUCACUUAAAGGAAGGACUUUACAGCUUCUCUUUGGCAUAUCCAAAUUGCCAGCAUCACCGCUCUUGCACUGCAAGCCAUUAUUAAGUAAAGUAAAGAACACAAACACUGUGAUACUGCUACACUUGAUCUGAUAACCAAGAAGUCUACUAAGUGACUAACAGAGAGCAACUGGGAACCUAAUUCUGACCAACAAGGAGGAAUUGUUUGGCUAAUUGGAAGUGACAGAAACCUUGGGAGAAAGCAACCGCAUACCAAGGAUAAUUAUAAGAAGAACUUUUUUGCCCAUUGGUGUCAUUUAACCAAAAGAAGAAGAAAUUCCAAAAAAAAAAAAAAAAUCAACUGAAACAAAAGAAUAGACUGAAUUUGCCAAAGGAGUGCUUAAAUGGAGACCUAAGUCUUCAAAGCUAAGGUGAUGAGAAAAGAACAGGUCUUAAAUUUCUUCAGAGCUUCAAGAGGCAAAGCUUGAAAGAAGAAAAAAUUUUAUUCUUAGAAGAAGACAUGGAGGAGGGAGUAGUUGUGACCGUGGAGGCAGAGAAUGGAGUAAUGUGAUCAUAAAUCAAGGAAUGCUGACAGCCACUAAAGCUGGAGAAGGCCAAGGACAGAUAUUCAGUCCUCCCGUAGAGGUACAGCCCUGCUAAUGCAUUGAUUUUGGACUUCUGGCCUCAGAACUACAUUAUGGAAGAGAUUCAAGCAUCGGAAGUGUGGUUUUUGGGUGUGAUUCCAGCUGUACGAGAAGCCAUUUAAUCCCCCUGGAACUUAGUUCUCCGUAAAAUGGGGACGUUUGACUAAAGUACCUCUAUCUCUUUUUGAGUUUUAAACUCUUUUGAUUCUGCUUUGGAGUAACAACAUUUUUCUCUCUUCCAGAUUUAUAUAUCAGCUUUUUAUCAGUUGAAAUAAACCACCCUGGGCCAGGUGCAGUGGCUCACACCUGUAAUCCCAGACGAUGCAAUCAGCAUGCUGAUUAAGGUUGCUUGGUUUUUUACUAAACAUUAACUGAAUGAAAACGGGUAGUCCUUGUUCUGCUUGGGGGGCUUUAAGGAAGCAAAUGGACUUUCAGAACAGAGAUUGUCAAUAAAGUCCAAUGUGAUAAUUUAUGUGAAAUCUUUCUGCAAACUAUACAAGAAGCUGAUGUGACGUGGCAAUAUCAACCAGAAUACCCAUCUCGAGUUCUGGAUAUGUGCUCUGAGAAGAUGCCCAUGUCACCGACCACACUGGAGGCCAAUGCAGAUACUGGGGGAAGGUUCCAUGGUAGCUAAGUGUGGACAAACUAAUCACUGAAGUUCCCUGAUGCAGAGCUGAUAAUCUCUCUAGAGUUGGAUGGAAGACUGUGCUGCCUUGAAGCUCUGAGAGAUGCCAUGCCAAUUCAAGGCAGGGUCUUUAUUGUUGAAACUCUUGCGUAAUGACAUCUUUAUUCAGGUGAAAAUACAGGAUGAAUUUCAACUGUAUGAUAUUGUUUAUGUUCAUCAGACAUGUUAUUUGUCUUUACAAAGAUUGGUUUCAAUAAACUGGCUGUGUGACUGAUAUUAAAUAAACAUGGA
rnacentral:lncRNA from 1 species